AUUGAACGCUGGCGGCAGGCCUAACACAUGCAAGUCGAACGAGUGGCGGACGGGUGCGUACUGUCUGGGAAACUGCCUGAUGCCGGGGGAUAACUACUGGAAACGGUAUCUAAUACCGCACACCAUCCGCUUUGCCCAGAUGGGAUUAGCUAGUAGGUGAGGUAACGGCCCACCUAGGCGACUAUCCCUAGCUGGUCUGAGAGGAUGACCGGCCACACUGGAACUGAGACACGGUCCAGACUCCUACGGGAGGCAGCAGUAGGGAAUAUUGCACAAUGGGCGAAAGCCUGAUGCAGCAAUGCCGCGUGUGUGAAGAAGGCCUUCGGGUUGUAAAGUUCUGUCGGCGGAGAGGCGUUACCCAAAGAGAAAGCACCGGCUAACUCCGUGCCAGCAGCCGCGGUAAUUC
rnacentral:rRNA from 1 species